GCCUGGGUGGCUCAGCUGGUUAAGCAUCUGGCUUCAAAUCAGGUCAUGAUCUCACAGUUAGUGCGUUCGAGCCCCACACCGGGCU
rnacentral:tRNA from 1 species